GUCGAACGGCACCACAGAGGAGCUUGCUCCUUGGGUGGCGAGUGGCGGACGGGUGAGGAAUACAUCGGAAUCUACUUUUUCGUGGGGGAUAACGUAGGGAAACUUACGCUAAUACCGCAUACGACCUACGGGUGAAAGCAGGGGACCUUCGGGCCUUGCGCGAUUGAAUGAGCCGAUGUCGGAUUAGCUAGUUGGCGGGGUAAAGGCCCACCAAGGCGACGAUCCGUAGCUGGUCUGAGAGGAUGAUCAGCCACACUGGAACUGAGACACGGUCCAGACUCCUACGGGAGGCAGCAGUGGGGAAUAUUGGACAAUGGGCGCAAGCCUGAUCCAGCCAUACCGCGUGGGUGAAGAAGGCCUUCGGGUUGUAAAGCCCUUUUGUUGGGAAAGAAAUCCAGCUGGCUAAUACCCGGUUGGGAUGACGGUACCCAAAGAAUAAGCACCGGCUAACUUCGUGCCAGCAGCCGCGGUAUACGAAGGGUGUGGCGUUACUCGGAAUACUGGGCGUAGGCGUGCGUACGUGGUCGUUUAGUCCGUUGUGAAGCCCUGGGCUCACCUGGGAACUGCAGUGGAUCUGGGCGACUAGGUGUGGUAUAGGGUAGCGGAUUCCUGGUGUAGCAGUGAAAUGCGUAGAGACAGGAGGAACAUCAUGGCGAAGGAGCUACUGGACCACACUGACACUGAGGACGAAGCGUGGGGAGCAACGGAUAGAUACCUGGUAUCCACGCCUAACGAGCGACUGGAUGUGGGUGCAUUUGGACGCAUAUCAAGCUACGCUUAAUUCCCGCCGGGGAUACGUCGCAGAUGAACUCAAGGAUUGACGGGGCCGCACAGCGUGGAUAGUGGUUAUUCAUGCACCGAGAACUUACUGGCUGACUGUCAGACUUCAGAAUGAUUGUGCUUCGGACUCAACCAGUGCUGCUGCUGUCUCACUCUGUCUGAAGUUGGUAGUCCGCACACGCACCUGUCUAUUGCACACUAUGUGGA
rnacentral:rRNA from 1 species